CCUUAUCGCAGCCGCCUUUCCCCCAUCGGCCGCUGCGAACUGCCCGGCGACAUUCCUCCUCCCAGUCGCAGGGCAUCGAUUAUCGCCCACCGGUCCUCCCCCGGUGGGCGUUUUCG
rnacentral:sRNA from 1 species